AACAAAUCCCUCUGUUGCAAACCAAAUUUGGAAGACUUACAGAAAACCAUUUCUUACAGUGGAAAUUGCUGGUAAUGAUGUGUGAUCAGGUUCAAUGCAGAUGAAGCUCCAUGGGGUUAAGAAGGGAGAAGGGCAUCAGUGAACUGCUUCAUGGCCACUUUAUGCUAUUAAAAUCCUCCCUGUUCUUUGACCAGAAAUAGAAAUACCUACAAAGAAAUGACAACUGGACAUAUCUGAGGAGGGGGUGUAAGCACAGCCUCAUUAAUAACACACCACACGUUUAAAAGGAUGGAUGGCAGGUAAACACUUAAAAAGAUGGAUUUUGCUUUCAGA
rnacentral:lncRNA from 1 species